rnacentral:rRNA from 1 species
UACGUAGGGUGCAAGCGUUGUCCGGAAUUAUUGGGCGUAAAGAGCUCGUAGGCGGUUUGUUGCGUCGGCUGUGAAAUCCCGAGGCUCAACCUCGGGUCUGCAGUCGAUACGAGCAAACUAGAGUGUUGCAGGGGAGACUGGAAUUCCUGGUGUAGCGGUGAAAUGCGCAGAUAUCAGGAGGAACACCGGUGGCGAAGGCGGGUCUCUGGGCAACAACUGACGCUGGAGGAAGCGAAAGGCGUGGGGAGCGAACAGG